GUGCUCGCUUUGGCAGCACAUAUACUAAAAUUGGAACGAUACAGAGAAGAUUAGCAUGGCCCCUGCACAAGGAUGACAUGCAAAUUAGUGAAGCGUUCCAUAUUUUU
ensembl:snRNA U6 U6 spliceosomal RNA